rnacentral:tRNA from 1 species
UAACGAAUAGUUUAAUAAAAACAUUGAUUUGUGGUAUCAAGGAUGACCUUUAUAGGUUUUCGUUAU